rnacentral:rRNA from 1 species
GACUAACGCUGGCGGCGUGCCUAACACAUGCAAGUCGAACGAGUUUAUAUUUGGUAGCAAUAUUGAGUAUAAGCAAGUGGCGGACGGGUGAGUAACACGUGGGCAACCUGCCUCUAUCCGGGGGAUAACAUCGGGAAACCGGUGCUAAUACCGCAUAACAUCGCGCAGCCGCAUGGCGGUGCGAUCAAAGGAGUGAUCCGGGAAGAGAUGGGCCCGCGUCCGAUUAGAUUGUUGGUGGGGUAACGGCCUACCAAGUCUGCGAUCGGUGGCCGGACUGGGAGGUUGAUCGGCCACAUUGGGACUGAGAUACGGCCCAGACUCCUACGGGGGGCAGCAGUGGGGAAUAUUGCACAAUGGGGGAAACCCUGAUGCAGCAACGCCGCGUGAAGGAUGAAGGUUUUCGGAUUGUAAACUUCUUUGACCGGGGACGAAACAAAUGACGGUACCCGGAAAACAAGCCACGGCUAACUACGUGCCAGCAGCCGCGGUAAAAC